AGAGUUUGAUCCUGGCUCAGGACGAACGCUGGCGGCGUGCCUAACACAUGCAAGUCGAACGGACGAGGCCCCUUCGGGGACCGAGUUAGUGGCGGACGGGUGAGUAACGCGUGAGCAACCUGCCUUUCAGAGGGGGACGACAGUUGGAAACGACUGCUAAUACCGCAUGAUGCAGCGAGAUCGCAUGGUCUUGCUGUCAAAGAUUUAUCGCUGAAAGAUGGGCUCGCGUCUGAUUAGCUAGUUGGAGGGGUAACGGCCCACCAAGGCGACGAUCAGUAGCCGGACUGAGAGGUUGAACGGCCACAUUGGGACUGAGAUACGGCCCAGACUCCUACGGGAGGCAGCAGUGGGGAAUAUUGGGCAAUGGGGGAAACCCUGACCCAGCAACGCCGCGUGAAGGAAGAAGGCUUUCGGGUUGUAAACUUCUUUUACCAAGGACGAAGAACGUGACGGUACCUGGAGAAAAAGCCACGGCUAACUACGUGCCAGCAGCCGCGGUAAUACGUAGGUGGCAAGCGUUGUCCGGAUUUACUGGGUGUAAAGGGCGUGUAGGCGGAGCUGCAAGUCAGAUGUGAAAUCUGGGGGCUUAACCCUCAAACUGCAUUUGAAACUGUAGCCCUUGAGUAUCGGAGAGGCAGGCGGAAUUCCUAGUGUAGCGGUGAAAUGCGUAGAUAUUAGGAAGAACACCAGUGGCGAAGGCGGCCUGCUGGACGACAACUGACGCUGAGGCGCGAAAGCGUGGGGAGCAAACAGGAUUAGAUACCCUGGUAGUCCACGCUGUAAACGAUGAAUACUAGGUGUGGGGGGACUGACCCCCUCCGUGCCGGAGUUAACACAAUAAGUAUUCCACCUGGGGAGUACGACCGCAAGGUUGAAACUCAAAGGAAUUGACGGGGGCCCGCACAAGCAGUGGAUUAUGUGGUUUAAUUCGACGCAACGCGAAGAACCUUACCGGGAUUUGACAUCCUGCUAACGAAGCAGAGAUGCAUUAGGUGCCCUUCGGGGAAAGUAGAGACAGGUGGUGCAUGGUUGUCGUCAGCUCGUGUCGUGAGAUGUUGGGUUAAGUCCCGCAACGAGCGCAACCCCUAUUGUUAGUUGCUACGCAAGAGCACUCUAGCGAGACUGCCGUUGACAAAACGGAGGAAGGCGGGGACGACGUCAAAUCAUCAUGCCCCUUAUGUCCCGGGCUACACACGUAAUACAAUGGCGGUCAACAAAGGGAAGCAAAGCCGCGAGGCAGAGCAAACCCCCAAAAGCCGUCUCAGUUCGGAUUGCAGGCUGCAACUCGCCUGCAUGAAGCUGGAAUUGCUAGUAAUCGUGGAUCAGAAUGCCACGGUGAAUACGUUCCCGGGCCUUGUACACACCGCCCGUCACACCAUGAGAGUCGGGAACACCCGAAGUCCGUAGUCUAACCCGCAAGGGAGGGCGCGGCCGAAGGUGGGUCUGAUAAUUGGGGUGAAGUCGUAACAAGGUA
rnacentral:rRNA from 1 species